GCGAGCGCACGUGUACUGUCUUCCUCCACCGCCCCGCUUCCUUCUCCCCUAUGGCAGCGGCCGCGCACGAUGGCGGGUCACGCCGUCGUCAUGCCGCAAGCCGCCUGCGUACCCGCAACCGCUGAUGCCAUCCUUCAUAUGCUGCUCCCGAUCCAUGUCGUACGGUGCUACUCAUCGCCAACCGCCAUCGCGGGAAGGACCGUGGUCGCUCAGUCGCAGCCGUGGGGAGGAGUCCCCUCGUCGCUCAAGGUGGGCUCUCUUCUUGCUCCUCUCCGUCCUAGCCGGCGCCGUUGGCCACAGGAAGACUCUCCCCCUCUCAUCUUUGGUUAUUUUGUGCUAUGAGGUGCUUGAUGAAAUUACGGUAUGAUACUUGCGUCCAUGGAUAACUCCUUCACCAGUCAUGACUGUCGGCCUCCAUUCCGAUGCUCGGCUGCAGUGCCGGCGCACACGUCGUCCGUCGAACAACCUUACAACCGGGUUACCAACCUGACGCCAAUGUACAUGUUGAACCCCUCUGUGUUUCUCACUCCGACAAUGACGAUGGUGAGUACUAGACGACGGACACACACAAGUCCCGGCUGCUCCACUCCAACAAGCUGAAGCUCGGAUCAUUUCAGUCAGCGGCAAUGGUGGUGAGGAAGUGUCCUUGCUCGGAGCUCCGAGGUGGUGCUUCGCGUUGGGCGUCUCCAGAGAGAAGUGUGCGAUGUCUUCUUGGAUGGUAAAUUGAUGGCCUGUUCUGUCACACAUUAUGCAGACAAUGAUUGCUCAGUUCUGUUAGUGAAGUAGUGGAGAGGCAAUGUUGUUGCCGUUUUCCUCAAAAGAUGAAGCAGUCACCGGACACGCCGCCUCGCCGUCCAUCGUUCCAUCCACCAGCAAUAAUGGAGGGUGUGCACAUGAAGUCUUCCUUCUCGCCUCUUCCUUCUGCCGCAUCUUUGGGUGCAUAAGCCGCGGGGGUGGACAACGAGACAAAACAACGAGAUGGUGGUUCUGGAGGAGUCGUGGAGAUGGUGGCGAGGUACACAACGGACCAGCAUCCGCAAACUGGUGCUCGCACAAGCUACCUCGGCUUGUCCAGGAGGUAUAGAAAUUUGAACUGGUAAGACCUUGUUUGGUUCAACAUUCAAUCACUAAAUCGGUUUGGAUGUCUCACCAAGACAUCAAGGAGAAGUCCAAGAUUCAACAUGGAAAAUCAUUACUACAUAUUCUGAAUUCCUUGAGUAGUCUUGGUUCAACAGCUUGAUGUGCUUUAUACAUAUGGAGCAUCGUUGAAUAUCGUCACUACAUAUUUAUACCGAUUAAUUUGUAGGAGCAGUCUAUGAUUCAACAUGAAAAUCUUAGGAAGUCAUUCUUUAACUGAAUAUGUACAAACAUUAGUUUCCAACCCAGCGAAGUCUGCUUAUAUCUAUUGUUGAUACUACUAAACAGGAGGUCGGCAGCAUUCUGUUUGUUCUUCAUAUUACCUUCUACCAUUGCAUAGUGAGAUACACGCUUGUCAGUUUGAAUGUUCCCCAUAUGCAAAACUUAUUUGCACUAGAUUCGUUUGGACCAGUUAUUUCUGAAAACUUGAAGCAACCCCAUAAUCUCUAAAUUAAGGGCAGGUCAGAAAUGUAGAACAACCAAUGUUUCUUUUUGAAGGCAUCACCCUUGCUUUGUUCUUUGUUGCUUCUCACUAUGAUGCCAUUUUUUUCCUUGAACAUGAUUUAUCCGGUUUUACCUAUGUACCUAUGGGCAGUAUGAUGGAAAAUUCAAUGAAGAUUAGAUGUUUUGAAACGCAACUGUUAAUUACUUUAUACUACCUCACCAGCCACACUACAUCACAGUGGGAUAUCACAACAAUGUUGUACACAGAUAAAACUUCAAGAAAUAAAGAUGUAUUUUGCGGAGACGAAAAAUUGUAAUGUUGUACACAUAUACAAGAUUCUUCACACUUUAUAUAUAGCUUGACCCUUGUGUAAUUUGCAGUUUACUGACUGUCAGUAUUUUAUACAUAUAUAAUCUGAUUCUGAGAGAAUACUCAGAUUUCUUGAUCCAUGUUACUAUGUUAGUAGUAGAUAUAAUUGUUGUUACAGGAUACAGGCAAUUUCUGAAAUCAUUCUUACCUUAGCCUGAUAAUCUGAAUGGUGUGUAGAUUAAUAAAAUGGAAACCUUGAAUCUCCACAUGAUUCUGUAAAAGGCUGAUCUUAUCACGUUAAUCAUUACAAACAAGAUUUGAGUUUCUUCUGAAACCAUAAAUCUCUGAGAGAUGUACUAAAUCGGCACCUUCAGGUUCAUACUUCACUUAUUAUACUACAAGUUAUCCAUUCAUAUAGUGCUGAAUUAUAUUUUUUCCUUUGUUCCUAAUACUUGAUGAUAAAAACUUGAAUGGGAUUGGAAGUUCUGUUUGUUAAGCUUCAUGCACUAGCCACUUGAACCAAAAGUCCGAACUGAUGGAAAGGGCUAGGCAAUCCACAUAUACACUUCACAACACCCCCACUCACGUGUGACGGGAGAAGAGAAAGUCAACACGUGAAAGAAGAAGAUCACACCGAAACAGCGGUGGAAAGAGGGGGCAACAGCAAUUUUUAGGCUUAAUUGCGAAAACCAUGUGAAAGCUAGGAUUUGAACUUGAGACCUGGAGCUCUGAUACCAUGUUAAGCUUCAUGCACUAGCCACUUGAACCAAAAGUCCGAACUGAUGGAAAGGGCUAGGCAAUCCACAUAUACACUUCACAACACUGUUUAGCUCAUAGCUCAUGAAAUAAAGUUCUGCUUAGGUCACUGUUCUGAAUGAACAUGCACCAGUUGCUUGACAUAGAGUCAGUUGUGCCACAUUUUCAGAUUUCGAACAUAAGACUGUAACAAGGAGAAAUCAGGACAAGCAUCAACAAAAAAAUCCUCAAUUGCUCAUUAUUUGGUUACCUAUUCAAGGUACAUGCUUCUGGGAUUUUGUCUUCCGUUUUGCUUGUGGGAUGCACUGAUGUAUGAAGUGAUGUCAGUUUUCUGAAAGUUCCAUUUAGAAAGUUUUCUGAUGAAUGUUAUUCUUAACCUAUCUCCAGUUCUGAAAGUUCCAUUAGAAAGUUUUAUGCUGAAAGUCAGACUACAAAUAGUGUGCUCUCAUAUUUGUGCUUAGACUAUUGCUUUCUAGCUCUCAUAUUCUGAGCCAAAUUGCUUUCCUUCCUUUCCUAUGCAUUAUUGCCAUGGAUUUGUCAAGAAGAACUCAAUAAAAUAAAAUAAAGGUUUAGUGAAAAUGGAUAAUUUUUGUGCAGUUUGUUUUACCCUCUUCGUCCGCACAUGUAACUAUAUGCUCUGAAUAACUUUUGACAUGUUUAAAAGCCAUAGAAGUAGGUUACUAGAAACUAUAUAUGGUUGGUAUCCCCCGAGAUAAAUUUUUUUUGAGAACCCCCGGGAGUUCCCCGUGUCAUUCCAUUAAGCAUCAGAGAAGAAAUAGAUUUACAAGAGAGCAAUGGCUUAAGUGCCAUAGAAACCACAGGUGGCUGAUGGCGCGAGAAGCGAUCGCAAUACACCGCACAGAAACGGGAUAACCAAGUGCUAUCCUCUCCCCUGCCCACGUCUAUCCUCCCCGAUGCUGUGGCCAACAGCCAAGGCCGUCGUAGCGAGAGCAUUGAACACACACACAUUCCUCUCCAACCAAAUGGAGCGGAUGACUAGCAGCACCAAGGAGUUGAACGCCUUGCUCAUGCAUCGAGGGGCAGCGAUAGCGGCGUCAGGCCACCAAACAUGCAACGACAAUGCGGGGUAGGCAUAGGUAGUUUCCAACCAAGGUGAUGGAACGCACAAGUCCAGUCAGCCACGGCAUACGGGCAUUGCAGAACGAGGUGGUCAUAGGUUUCGGCCGCCGCAUUACAGGGUGGGCAGGUGCCAUGGUUAGGGAGCCCGCGCUGCUACAUCCUAUCGGCAGUCCAACACCUUUGUCGGAGAGCAAGCCAUCCAUGAAAGCGAAACUUCGCUGGCGCGAAGGAAUGCCACAGCUAGGCUGCGCGGGGAGGGCGAUCUGUCCCCCGAGAUAUUUGUAAGUUUCUAUUCCUCAUCUACCACAAUGCUAUGUAAUCCUGCCUAAAUGAUGGUGUAUUUUAUUUGUUAUUAUGAUUCUUUUACAAGUAAACAUGUCAUAUUUGCAUAUACCUGACCAAGGAUUAAGCCCAACAUGUCAGAUGUAUUGCACACGAUCUAGAGGAACUUAUGUGAGCAACAAAGUUAGCAGCUACACUCUCUCCCUUCUCGGGUGCACUGGCCAAUUGUAGCGGCGGGGGAGAAUCAGGAGGGAGAAGAGGCGGUACCAUAGUUUUUUUUUGGUCAAGAAUGGGUUUAUAAGUGAAUCACACCCACCUCCAGAGGUAUGGUAUCAAUAUGAAACCUACCAGAUUUAGAAUUCUCUAAUUGUUUUUAUUUGGACGUGUGUGAUUUGCUACAUCUCAUGUUUGGUGGACGCAUCAGGGUUCAAGAGAUCCUAUUGUGGGUCGGAGCUUUGAGCUGACGGCGGGAUCUCUAUAGUGCAGAGAAACUGUGAGCUAAAGAUCAGUCGUGGUUCGACCAAUUCUUAGAGUGGAAAACGUAUGUUCAGGCACACCCUCUUUGCUAGAUUAUAAAUAGGCAUGGAAAUUAUGCUUGGAUAAAUUUAUCUAAAGUUGUAAAUCAAACAGAACCUUAUACUCAUUUUUUUAUGCUGUCCACAUUUCUCGAAGGUCUUGUA